UAGGAUGUGGUGUAAUGGGUAGCACGGAGAGUUUUGGGUUCUCAGGAGUGGGUUCGAUUCCCAUAAUUCUAG
rnacentral:tRNA from 1 species